rnacentral:rRNA from 1 species
GAUGAACGCUGGCGGCGUGCCUAAUACAUGCAAGUCGAGCGAACGGACGAGAAGCUUGCUUCUCUGAUGUUAGCGGCGGACGGGUGAGUAACACGUGGAUAACCUACCUAUAAGACUGGGAUAACUUCGGGAAACCGGAGCUAAUACCGGAUAAUAUUUUGAACCGCAUGGUUCAAAAGUGAAAGACGGUCUUGCUGUCACUUAUAGAUGGAUCCGCGCUGCAUUAGCUAGUUGGUAAGGUAACGGCUUACCAAGGUAACGAUGCAUAGCCGACCUGAGAGGGUGAUCGGCCACACUGGAACUGAGACACGGUCCAGACUCCUACGGGAGGCAGCAGUAGGGAAUCUUCCGCAAUGGGCGAAAGCCUGACGGAGCAACGCCGCGUGAGUGAUGAAGGUCUUCGGAUCGUAAAACUCUGUUAUUAGGGAAGAACAUAUGUGUAAGUAACUGUGCACAUCUUGACGGUACCUAAGCAGAAAGCCACGGCUAACUACGU